rnacentral:lncRNA from 10 species
CAGAAAUGUACCAGAGUUGUUCGUGAUCAUAACCCCAAAUCAUUGGUACCUCGAUGUUUAGAGGGGAAACAGCAUUGGCUGGGCAAGCUGGGGCAGGGAACGUGAUGAACAGUGGGCUGGAAUAAGUUAACUGGAGGAGGGGAGGCGUCUCAGGAAGGGAGAAUAGCAUGAACAGCAGCAUAGACGUGAGAAUAACCAUCUGGAGUGAUGAACCUAUGCUGAGUAGAAAGUUCCAGAAGGCUGCAUAAGGGAGGUGUGUGAACAGCAGAAGCAGGACAAACCUGAGAUGGGAGAAGAUGGCUAAACUGAAGCAACUUGGAGCUAGAAGAUAGGCUGCAUCUGCUCAGUUCACCUGCGCAGACCAAAAACAGUGCACGCUGUAGGCGGCCCAGUCCAGCUGAAUUUCAUCAGAUGGGCAUGUGUUUCCUUCCCCAACUGCUGGCCUCAGCUUCUCAGAAGGUAAUGUAUUGAGCCAAGGUGAGCCCUGCAGGUGAUCACCUGGACACCUCUGCCCAUCUGUGAGAGUGAACAGCAUGCUUACUACUGUGGUAGGCUGCAGUGCCACAGCAAGCUGAUUCACACGUAAAGGACAUGGGCAGGCCAUGAGUUCUCUCUAUCCAGGGACAUCUUGCCAACUAAACCUCCCACCUGCCACCUCCACCUUAGUCCUGCCUGAGUGUGCUCUCACCCACUACCUUCACGGAUGUCUCUGCGUCUCUGUUCACUGGCUGUUUCCACUCUCAAACCUACUUCCUUUUCCUCUCUGCAGAGGGGUGCAUCUCGGGUUAUCUCCAAACGAUGUUCGAUUCCACUCUCUCCUUUUAUUCAAACAAUUCUCCUCACAUGAGUGGCUACCCAGCAAGUCUGGCUCUCCCUCCAGCAACCCAAUCUAGAAAGCUAUAGCAUCUGUCUCAUAAGGGCUGGGUUGGCUGUGGUUCAUUAAGAAGGUAUUAAGCACUUUAUUGUACCAGCUUGCCAGAAACCGAAGACUCCUUCUAAAUCUGUUGCUUCACCUGAUGCCGAUUUUACUAGCAGUCUGUCCUAAAAAUGGUAUAUCUGGUAAUAAAAACAGAUAUUUUGAGCACCUAUUAGAUUUCAGAUGCCAUGAACUAUUCACUAGUUGAUUUAUCUUUUGCAUCUAUUCAUCAAUUCCUUUAUUUUUUGCACUAGCACUGCAAGCCAGAUACAAACUC